rnacentral:rRNA from 1 species
UUCUGUAAGAGUUUGAUCCUAGCUCAGGAUGAACGCUGGCGGCGUGGAUAAGGCAUGCAAGUCGAGGGGGCCUCUCACUGUGCGCACGAAGCGUGCUCAGUUGAUAGUCACUAGUUGCUAGUUUCUAGAAAAAUGCAAAGCAAAUGCAUUUCCUAGCAACUAGCAACUAGAAACUAGAAACUGCGCGCUUCGCGCUCGUUGUGAGAGGUCACCGGCAGACGAGGUAGUAACACGUAGGAACGAACCCCGUAGUCAGUGAUAACCCGUCGAAAGACGGACUAAUACUUGAUACACUCGCGAGAGGAAAGCCCCGCAGCAAUGCGGGACGCUAUGGGAUCGGCCUGCGACGUAUCAGCUAGUUGGUAGGGUAAUGGCCUACCAAGGCAAUGACGCGUAGGGGAGGUGAGAGCCUGACCCCCACCGAUGGGACUGCGACACGGCCCAUACACCUACGGGUGGCUGCAGUCGAGAAUCUUCCACAAUGGACGAAAGUCUGAUGGAGCGACGCCGCGUGACUGAUGAAGCAU